GACGAACGCUGGCGGCGUGCUUAACACAUGCAAGUCGAACGGAAAGGCCUCUUUCGGGGGGUACUCGAGUGGCGAACGGGUGAGUAACACGUGAGUAACCUGCCCUUGACUUUGGGAUAACUUCAGGAAACUGGGGCUAAUACCGGAUAGGAGCUCCUGCUGCAUGGUGGGGGUUGGAAAGUUUCGGCGGUUGGGGAUGGACUCGCGGCUUAUCAGCUUGUUGGUGGGGUAGUGGCUUACCAAGGCUUUGACGGGUAGCCGGCCUGAGAGGGUGACCGGCCACAUUGGGACUGAGAGACGGCCCAGACUCCGACGGGAGGCAGCAGUGGGGAAUAUUGCACAAUGGGUGGAAGCCUGAUGCAGCAACGCCGUGUGCGGGAUGACGGCCUUCGGGUUGUAAACCGCUUUCGCUCAUGACGAAGCUUUGUGUGACGGUAGUGGGUAAAGAAGCACCGGCUAACUACGUG
rnacentral:rRNA from 1 species